GAUGAACGCUGGCGGCGUGCCUAAUACAUGCAAGUCGAGCGAACGGACGAGAAGCUUGCUUCUCUUAUGUUAGCGGCGGACGGGUGAGUAACACGUGGAUAACCUACCUAUAAGACUGGGAUAACUUCGGGAAACCGGAGCUAAUACCGGAUAAUAUUUUGAACCGCAUGGUUCAAAAGUGAAAGACGGUCUUGCUGUCACUUAUAGAGGGAUCCGCGCUGCAUUAGCUAGUUGGUAAGGUAACGGCAUACCAAGGCAACGAUGCAUAGCCGACCUGAGAGGGUGAUCGGCCACACUGGAACUGAGACACGGUCCAGACUCCUACGGGAGGAAGCAGUAGGGAAUCUUCCGCAAUGGGCGAAAGCCUGACGGAGCAACGCCGCGGGAGUGAUGAAGGUCUUCGGAUCGUAAAACUCUGUUAUUAGGGAAGAAGAUAUGUGUAAGUAACUGUGCACAUCUUGACGGUACCUAAUCAGAAAGCCACGGCUAACUACGUG
rnacentral:rRNA from 1 species